rnacentral:rRNA from 1 species
UUAGUACGGCGAGUGAAGCGGCAAAAGCUCAAAUUUGAAAUCUGGUACCUUCGGUGCCCGAGUUGUAAUUUGGAGAGGGCAACUUUGGGGCCGUUCCUUGUCUAUGUUCCUUGGAACAGGACGUCAUAGAGGGUGAGAAUCCCGUGUGGCGAGGAGUGCGGUUCUUUGUAAAGUGCCUUCGAAGAGUCGAGUUGUUUGGGAAUGCAGCUCUAAGUGGGUGGUAAAUUCCAUCUAAAGCUAAAUAUUGGCGAGAGACCGAUAGCGAACAAGUACAGUGAUGGAAAGAUGAAAAGAACUUUGAAAAGAGAGUGAAAAAGUACGUGAAAUUGUUGAAAGGGAAGGGCAUUUGAUCAGACAUGGUGUUUUGUGCCCUCUGCUCCUUGUGGGUAGGGGAAUCUCGCAUUUCACUGGGCCAGCAUCAGUUUUGGUGGCAGGAUAAAUCCAUAGGAAUGUAGCUUGCCUCGGUAAGUAUUAUAGCCUGUGGGAAUACUGCCAGCUGGGACUGAGGACUGCGACGUAAGUCAAGGAUGCUGGCAUAAUGGUUAUAUGCCGCCCGUCUUGAAACACGGACACA